AUGCGAUAAGUAAUGUGAAUUGCAGAAUUCAGUGAAUCAUCGAAUCUUUGAACGCACCUUGCGCUCCUUGGUAUUCCGAGGAGCAUGCCUGUUUGAGUGUCAUUAAAUUCUCAAUCUCUACAACUUUGUGUUGUCUAGAUCGGAAGUGGGGGUUUGUUGUGUGGAAUCUAAUUCCUCACUCCCCUUAAAUGCAUUAGCUGGAAUGCCUCUGCAUAUCUGACUAUCAGUGUGAUAAUUAUCUAUGCUGUAGUUGUUGCAUGAUGGUAUCUGCUUCAUUAAAUCGUCGCAAGACAAUUCUAUAUGACCAUCUUGACCUCAAAUCAGGUAGGACUACCCGCUGAACUUAA
rnacentral:misc_RNA from 1 species